AAGCCAGACUCCUACGGGAGGCAGCAGUGGGGGAUAUUGCACAAUGGGGGGAACCCUGAUGCAGCGACGCCGCGUGGGUGAAGGAGCGUUUCGGCGCGUAAAGCCCUAUCGGCAGGGAAGAAGGAGGACGGUACCUGACUAAGAAGCCCCGGCUAACUACGUGCCAGCAGCCGCGGUAAUACGUAGGGGGCAAGCGUUAUCCGGAUUUACUGGGUGUAAAGGGGGCGCAGACGGCAGCGCAAGCCAGGAGUGAAAGCCCGGGGCCCAACCCCGGGACUGCUCUUGGAACUGCGCGGCUGGAGUGCAGGAGGGGCAGGCGGAAUUCCUGGUGUAGCGGUGAAAUGCGUAGAUAUCAGGAGGAACACCGGUGGCGAAGGCGGCCUGCUGGACUGCGACUGACGUUGAGGCCCGAAAGCGUGGGGAGCAAACAGGAUUAGAUACCCGAGUAAG
rnacentral:rRNA from 1 species